AAACAUAAAUGAGCUAAAUAACUCCUUACUGCUAUAAAACACACAUGAGCUACAGGUUUAUUACAAGAUAAAUGAAUAAGAAACACAAACACACAAGAGCUAAAUAAACAAGUCAUUACACUUUAGAAAUCUAUACUAAAAGAGAAAAAACAAACAGUGACCACAUAUUUAUUACAACAUAAAGAAUGGAGUAAAAAUAACUCAACAAACAUAAAUAAAUAAGAUACACAAACACAGAUGAGCAAAAUAACUCCUUACUGCCAUAAAACACACAUGAGC
rnacentral:lncRNA from 1 species